rnacentral:rRNA from 1 species
CCUACGGGGGGCAGCAGUGAGGAAUAUUGGUCAAUGGGCGGAAGCCUGAACCAGCCAAGUAGCGUGAAGGAUGACGGCCCUACGGGUUGUAAACUGCUUUUAUACGGGAAUAACGCGCCUUACGUGUAGGGUUUUGUAUGUACCGUAUGAAUAAGGACCGGCUAAUUCCGUGCCAGCAGCCGCGGUAAUACGGAAGGUCCGGGCGUUAUCCGGAUUUAUUGGGUUUAAAGGGAGCGGAGGCCGAGUGUCAAGCGUGCUGUGAAAUGUUCGGGCUCAACCCGGGCCUUGCAGUGCAAACUGGCGGGCUUGAGUCCGCGAGAGGCAGGCGGAAUUCGUCGUGUAGCGGUGAAAUGCUUAGAUAUGACGAAGAACCCCGAUUGCGAAGGCAGCUCGCUGCAGCGGAACUGACGCUGAUGCUCGAAAGCGCGGGUAUCGAACAGGAUUAGAUACCCUAGUAGUC